rnacentral:rRNA from 1 species
CCUACGGGUGGCAGCAGUGAGGAAUAUUGGUCAAUGGUCGGAAGGCUGAACCAGCCAUGCCGCGUGAAGGUCAGUGCCCUAUGGGCGUUAAACUUCCUUUGUUCGGGAGCAAUAAUGGUCACGUGUGGCCAGACGAGAGUACCGUACGAAUAAGCAUCGGCCAACUCCGUGCCAGCAGCCGCGGUAAAACGGGGGAUGCAAGCGUUAUCCGGAAUUAUUGGGUUUAAAGGGUGCGUAGGGUGUGAGGUAAGUCAGCGGUGAAAUGCCCCCGCUCAACGGGGUGAAGUGCCAUUGAUACUGCCUGGCUGGAGUGCGGGUGACGUAGGAGGAAUGUGUGGUGUAGCGGUGAAAUGCAUAGAUAUCACACAGAACACCGAUUGCGAAGGCAGCUCACGGAUCCGCGAUUGACGCUGAUGCACGAAAGCGUGGGUAUCGAACAGGAUUAGAUACCCCUGUAGUC